rnacentral:misc_RNA from 1 species
AAGUCGUAACAAGGUUUCCGUAGGUGAACCUGCGGAAGGAUCAUUAAUGAAUUCUGAAAGGGGUUGUAGCUGGCCGUUUCGUUUGAGCGGCAUGUGCACGCCCUGCUCAUUAUCCAUCUCACACACCUGUGCACAUACUGUAGGUCGGCUUUUGAUUGGAGUGGGGUCUUCAUUGACUCUGCUCUUUAGUUGGGGCCUUCCUAUGUUUUAUCACACACUACUUCAGUUUAAAGAAUGUCCUCUUGCGUCUAACGCAUUUAAAUACAA